AUAAAAUCUGAAGUAGAUAUUUAGUAGAUAACCCCAAAAAACAGGUUCUAGGCUUAAUUGGCAGAUAAGGGAUAGCGUCCAGUAUACCACUGCAGAUCCCUAAAUGGACUCUUAAGAUAGUGCACUAAUGAAUCUCUGGGUAAAUCACAGGAUAGAAUAUUAAGUACUGUGCUGGAAGCGUCCCUGGGAAAAAGAGCCCGCUAGAAUGGAU